ensembl:lncRNA ly6/PLAUR domain-containing protein 2-like
GACUCCCAGACCUUGGAAAAGCUUUUUGCUUGGACUACAACUCCCACAAUCCCCCUGCCAGCAUAUGUGUUGGACUACAACUCCCAGAAGCACUUGUAACAGCCUCAGACCUUGGAAAAGCUUGCUCGGACUGCAGUUCCCACAAUCCCCCCGCCAGCAUGCUGACUGGGGAAUUUUGGGAGUUGUAGUCCAAGCAAGAAGCUUUUCCAAGGUCUGUGGCUGUUACGAGUGAUCCGUUGCGUCCCCCUUGUUGAAUCUCUCCAUGGAGUCAGUUCCUUGAUGAGCAGCGCUCUUUUUAACAGCUGGCCUCUCCUUGUUCCCAAAGCCCCAACCACGACGGGGACCGCUGAGGUGUGUUUCUUCCAGAGGCCAGAUGUUUCAACGGCCAGGACUUUGUACUUUUGUUAGUUUUUCUGACGACCAGAUGUUUCAACCGCCAGGACUUUGUACUUUUGUUAGUUUUUCCAAUUCUUUAUUUUCAGCUGGAAUUGCAAUGUCAAUGAUCCAGACAUUUCUUCGUUCUGUUGCUCCUAUGUCUGGUGUGUGAUGUUCAAGGUGUCUUAUCUGUCUGGAUCCAGAAAUCCCACAAGAUCUCGUCUUCCUCAUUUUCUGACUCCUUUUCUACCUGAUCUUCCCGCGGGUUUUUGGAGGCUGGCAAGUUUUAUUUUUUUGCAUCAUGAGCUCAUUUUGCUGCUCUGUCAUGCCUAAUUUUGUAAUCUGAUUGUGCCAUCUUUGGACAUCAUCAUCAUCAUCAUCAACAGUAGUAGCAGUAGUAUUGGAAAUAAAGCUGAUGUAACUAUGUAAGUGCACUAGGCAGUGGGGUUUAGACAAACGAAUUGUUUUGGACUGGCCGGGUGAUUCUGGGAAUAUUUGUUUCGACGUCUCUGCUGUCACGAGUGCUUACUCCUUUGUUUUGUUUUGUUUAAAAAAGGACAACCAAGUUCUCUUUUCUUUCCCCUGCUCUGCAGUUCAUUCCCUGGACUGUUACAGGUGCAAUGUCACGACGUACAGUGGGUGCACCUACGUCGUAAACUGCUCUGAAACACAGAAGUUCUGUACAAGAUACACCUCUACUACCACAUCUGGCUUUGUGCUCCAGCAAGGCUGCGCGGAGCGUUGCCCCAUUGUCAGAGGUACUUGGCCGAAGCUAUACACUUUUACCUGCUGCCAGGAGAGUAGGUGCAACGGAGUAGCGGGCAUCGGAAGAUACAGUUCUGCACUAAUCAUGAUCACUGUCCUGAGAGCUCUCUCCUAGAACUGUGUUCCAGUGGCAAGAAAGCACAGUCUCUGCCGAGCCAGGAAGGCGUGGGGGUUUCCAUUUCGCCAACUUCUCACCACUGUGGCUGAGAGAAUCCUGACUCUUGCCAACAAAACGACUCUCGUUUUCCGUUCCUGGGACGCCUUCCGAAUAUUUCCUCCGUAGACGGAACGCGGUAGGAAUGGACGUCCACCGGGGAGUGGUGUAUGCAGACUGCUUUGCAACAGGAGAGUCUCGGAGGCUUUGGUAGAAUCAGGCGACCCAACAGCGAAGAAACCUGAUCACCGUCUGCCUAACGACCUCAAGGUUGGCUCAAGAGGAUACCAAAUAUACAGCUGAGACCUAAUGGUCCAAGGCGGAUGGGAAGACAAUGGCCAGAUGUACGUCUUUCUCCGUAGCAUAAAUCUUUUGGCUUGACCCAUGUCUCCUUCUGUAGAUCGACACGUGUGGUAGUGCCAGAAAAAGAUGGGAGGAGAACAGCAUCCAGUAUUUUCUCCACUGCCAAGGGAGAAAAAAAUGUCAGUCUACUGAGGCAGACAGGCUGGCUUAAGGAAGGGUGAGUUCAACCUAGAACUUCAGUGGAACUCUUUUCAUGAAAGAAAUGCCGUGGGAAGAACUAAGGGUGGGUUUCUUCCAAUAUUUAGAAGGCCCCACGCAAAGAAACAGACUGAUUUUUUUUGUAUGAGAUUAUAAAGAAGAAAGCAGAAUAGAUCUCUUGCCUAUUAUAUAUACGAACGAUAUGAGUAAUAAAUAACAGCAACCGUAAUAAAAACA